UACGUAGGGUGCAAGCGUUACUCGGAAUUACUGGGCGUAAAGCGUGCGCAGGCGGUUUUGUAAGUCCGAUGUGAAAUCCCCGGCUUAACCUGGGAACUGCGUUUGAAACUACAAGGCUAGAGUGUGGCAGAGGGGGGUGGAAUUCCACGUGUAGCAGUGAAAUGCGUAGAGAUGUGGAGGAACACCGAUGGCGAAGGCAGCCCCCUGGGUUAACACUGACGCUCAGGCACGAAAGCGUGGGGAGCAAACAGG
rnacentral:rRNA from 1 species